GAUGAACGCUAGCGGCAGGCUUAAUACAUGCAAGUCGAGGGGCAGCAGGUCUGUAGCAAUACAGAUGCUGGCGACCGGCAAACGGGUGCGGAACACGUACAGAACCUUCCUUCAAGUGGGAGAUAGCCCAGGGAAACUUGGAGUAAUAUCCCAUAGGAUAGUGGAGUGGCAUCACUCAGCUAUUAAAGAUUCAUCGCUUGAAGAUGGCUGUGCGGCUGAUUAGGUAGUUGGCGGGGUAACGGCCCACCAAGCCUUCGAUCAGUAACUGGUGUGAGAGCACGACCAGUCACACGGCCACUGAGACACGGGCCCGACUCCUACGGGAGGCAGCAGUAAGGAAUAUUGGGCAAUGGAGGCAACUCUGACCCAGCCAUGCCGCGUGGAGGAUGAAGGUCCUCUGGAUUGUAAACUUCUUUUAUUUGGGAAGAAAUGCCGACUUUCUAGUUGGUUUGACGGUACCAGAUGAAUAAGCACCGGCUAACUCCGUGCCAGCCGCCGCGGUAAAAC
rnacentral:rRNA from 1 species